UUGUGUCCUGAAAGCUCUCUCUUUCAAACGUACACACAUACUGUAUCGUACAGACACACACUCACAUAGAAAAAUUUGGUCAGCGCUGCUUUGACGAAUUAAAUCAGAGUAAAAUAGUUUAGCAACUUAAGAUACAUUGACUCACCAGCGAAGUAAUAACUGUGCAGUUCUUGAGAUAAACUUUUAGUUUCGCUAUUAGUUGCCGUUAGAAAUGACACUGUUGCCGUUAGAAACGAACAGAUCAGGUAGGCUAAUUCACAUAUGCUGCUUAUUCUCUCUCUCUCUCUCCUCUCUCUCUCUGCAAUCAAGGCUCAAGCCUUCAUUACUAGUUCGGAAAUGACGUUUUGGAAUUAGCAACGGAGGCUUGGGAUAAGAUGUGUAAGAAAUUAGUCCCACACACAAGAGUGUUUUAAGGGCAAAAACCUGACAAAUGUCUCGAAAUACAACAUCGAAACAGUGUCUUGAGGUGCGGUAACCAUAGUAUAAGCAGAAUAAUUGACUCCGGGCCGUUGAAUUCUUAGAAAAUAAUGCACACACGAGGUGUAACGGCCACGGCAGUGUGCAUUAUUUUCUAAGAAUUCAACAGCCCAUUGUCAACUAUUCCUUACAUAUACUAUUAUUUAUUACAUGUUAUUUAUAUUUAUUUCUUAUAUAGUUCCCAAACCUGCAUUAUCCACGUGAGCACCAUGACUCAAUCUGGAGAAUUUGUGCUAAUUACUUCUACUUUUCAAAGGGUUUUAUCAUGUUUGGCUAUGGAUGUAUUGUUUAAAUGCUAAUUAUUCCACUUUUCCCUAAUUUUGGAAAUUUACAGGAAUAUGUCAAAAGAAUCUGAUUUCAUCACAGCCUUCCUCACUUCCCCUUCCCUUCCAUCUCUCAUUCUGUCUGUAUUUUUUUUUUUCUUCCCUGCUUUUUCCUCCCUCACUCCAUCUCUUCUUUUCUUUCAGUGGGAAUAAUCCCCCCUACAGGAGACUUCAAAGAGCAGGCCAGGCAGGGACAGGCUUAAUUACCCGCCUGCCUUAAAACUGAUGCCAAAUCAAAAGUUGCUCUGGUCCAUCUCUGUCCUGCCUUGGCAGGGCUAAUUGUGGCCUUGGAUUCUAUUUUGGAGAGUUUUGAAAAAGUCACAAUUAAAUCAAAACAAGAAGCAUAAUCCAACCCUCAACCCGAGUGAAGUUUUAAACCCCUCCAGGAUGUGGCAGGGAGGUUUCGAUGGCUGGCCGAGGGAGAGCAUUACGUCGGGGUAUUUAACACCAUGGAGAGUUGGAUACGAGGGGGCUUAAUGAUGCCGUAGCAGUCGGGAUGAGCGCUAAUUCACCGCCCAGGGCCCGCGACGGAUGGGGCACCUGCAGAGCCAGCCAUCAGUCAGCUUACCCACCCUCGACAGGUCCCGGGAGGGGCUCCGUAUCCCUCCGACUCAUGGAGCUCCACCACUCUCCACAAAAUGGCCUCAUCAUAAUGACAGACGAGUGUGUGAGUUACACUUCCUGGAAAGCGAGGGGGCCCUUAAUGACAUCAUAGUGAAUCACUACUUCUCUGAGAGCAAGUUUGACUGCAAAGAAGAAAAAGGCUCACCAGUGAAUUAAUUGCACAAUUUCUCUGAUAACAAUUUUAUUCUGCAUUCCACAGUUUUAAUCAUAUAAUUAAAUACCAGCAAGUUAA